rnacentral:rRNA from 1 species
UACGGAGGGUGCGAGCGUUGUCCGGAAUCACUGGGCGUAAAGGGUGCGUAGGCGGCUUUGUAAGUCAGUGGUGAAAUAUGGCAGCCCAACUGUCAGGGUGCCAUUGAUACUGCGGAGCUUGAGUACAGAUGAGGUAGGCGGAAUUGACGGUGUAGCGGUGAAAUGCUUAGAUAUCGUCAAGAACACCGAUAGCGAAGGCAGCUUACUAGGCUGUAACUGACGCUGAGGCACGAAAGUGUGGGGAUCAAACAGG